GUCUCCUUCCAUAGUGUGGAAGCUUUGUUCUUUCACUCUUUGCGAUAAAUCUUGCUGCUGCUCACUCUUUGGGUCCACACUGCCUUUAUGAGCUGUAACAUUCACCGCGAAGGUCUGCAGCUUCACUCCUGAGGCCAGCGAGACCACGAGCCCACCAGAAGGAAGAAACUCCGAACACGUCCGAACAUCAGAAGGAACAAACUCUGGACACACCACCUUUAAGAACUGUAACACUCACUGCGAGGGUCCGCAGCUUCAUUCUUGAAGUCAGUGAGACCAAGAACCCACCAAUUCCAGACACACCAUGUUAACUGUAUCUGCAAAACAGAGCCGUGGGACCUCUGGAAGUCUGACCAACCUAUUUCCAACAUGAGGCCCUCACCAGACUCCACCAGAAGUGGCCACCCAAUAUUGAACUUCCCAGCCUUCAGAAUUGGGGAUCCCACCAGUCCCUUUCUAUGGGGGAGAACUUGGAGUGGUUCUGCUGUCAGUUUACACAGUGAGAUCUUACACCAUAUGUAACUCUCAAGGCUGGAGAGAUGAUAUGCCGCCAACAUGGUUGGGAAACAUGGAGAAGCAGAAAGCUCGUAGCUGGACUACCCUACAAGGAGAAGUGGCUUCUGUGAAAUUGUAAAAUGCUGCACACUGCUGCUCUUCCUCCCUGGUUAUUCUCCUUCUGAACCCUCAUAUAUUAUUUUAAAAAUUUUAAACAAAUAAACAAGCAAAACACAAGGAUGCAUAAGUCAGCCUUUCUUCCAGCUCUCUGGCUUGGUGGAGGGAUGGAAGUAGGGUGGAAACGGAAAAACACAUUGUCGGGCCAAAUAGUAUUUUACCUCCAAACAUGGGCCACC
rnacentral:lncRNA from 10 species